ACCUACGGGACGCAGCAGUAGGGAAUAUUGGUCAAUGGAGGCAACUCUGAACCAGCCAUGCCGCGUGAAGGAUGAAGGCGCUUUGCGUCGUAAACUUCUUUUAUAUGGGACGAAAAAGGUAGAUUUAUCUACAACUGACGGUACCAUAGGAAUAAGCACCGGCUAACUCCGUGCCAGCAGCCGCGGUAAUACGGAGGGUGCAAGCGUUAUCCGGAUUUACUGGGUUUAAAGGGUGCGUAGGCGGGACAAUAAGUCAGUGGUGAAAGCUCGUUGCUUAACAACGGAAUUGCCAUUGAAACUGUUGUUCUUGAGAUAAGUUGAGGUUGGCGGAAUGAGACAUGUAGCGGUGAAAUGCAUAGAUAUGUCUUAGAACACCGAUUGCGAAGGCAGCUGACUGGACUUUAUCUGACGCUGAGGCACGAAAGCGUGGGGAUCAAACAGGAUUAGAUACCCUAGUA
rnacentral:rRNA from 1 species